GAACAAUUAGAGGACCGUAUACUCGGUCCGGCCUGUGAGCUCCCACCCGACUCAUGUCUCCUACGAGAUAAAGCAAUCAAAUCCUCAUUUGUAAAUGCAUUUUCAUUUUCGUUGUCUUCAACUAUCAAUGGAAUUCUGUGCGUAACAGUGUGAUCAUGGUGAAUAGCAGAGGUCUCGGGAAUAACCACAUCAUCUUCACGAACAAUCUGAAUUGUAUCACAAACAUCAUUUACAUUACGAUUCUCUUCAUUUGAAACUUCGUGUUCACCUUCGUGGACAUUCUUCCCCAAUAAAGUUACGCAAAUAGGAGUCGACUUUCGACCUUGGUUCAAUUUAAUUAGAUGUUUCAUUUCCACUUCAGAAGUAACUUUCAUAGGUGGAAUUGAAAUGGUUGAAUGCUU
rnacentral:lncRNA from 1 species